GCAACCCUUUGGGAACAUCCGAUAAAAUUAGAACGAUAAAGAAAAGAUCAGCAUGGCUCUUCGUCAAGGAUGACGCGCACAAAUCGAGAAAUUGUCCAAUUUUUU